rnacentral:snRNA from 1 species
GUUCAUUCAUGAACAUACACUAAACCUGGAACAAUACAGAGAAGAUUGGCAUCGCCUCUGCGCAAGUAUGGCAUGCAAAUUCGUUAAGGGCGCGUGU